CCCUUAGAUGUCCUGGGCCGCACGCGCGCUACACUGAUACGUUCAACGAGCUCCCCUUGGUCGAGAGGCCUAGGUAAUCUUUUGAACGCGUAUCGUGAUAGGGAUAGACCUUUGCAAUUAUUGGUCUUGAACGAGGAAUUCCUAGUAAACGCGAGUCAUCAGCUCGCAUUGAUUACGUCCCUGCCCUUUGUACACACCGCCCGUCGCACCUACCGAUUGAACGAUUCGGUGAAAACUCCGGACUGUGGUUGUGCGUCCUUUAUUGGGAGCGCUUCCGUGGAAAGUUGUGUAAACCUCAUCGUUUAGAGGAAGGUGAANUCGUANCA
rnacentral:rRNA from 1 species